UUGAGUUUAUACAGUUGGGAGGAGGAGAGAAUGGGAAAAGAUUCAACGUUACUCUUUCUCUCUUCCUCUCUCAAUUCUGAUUCUCCUCUCAUCUCCCUCUGAUUUCAAUUCCCUCUCUCUCCUCCAUUCUCAUCAAUCUCUCUAAUAUGUUUCCUCAGUGGCUUUGUCGUUUUACAGUCAUCUCUUCCAGACCGAAAUUAAUAUAAAACUGAGCUAACUGAAUGUAUUUUGAGUUUUGCAAGAGUCUUGUUCUUGCGGUGCUCGAUCUUUAUCUUCUUGUUCGUCAUGAUGAGGGCUUCCAGUGGCUUUUGUGUUUGUUUAACUUUGCACUAAGUGGGAUGUAGAACUAGUUUGAUUUUGUUAGUUAUAUUCAGGGUUAAAUUUAUGCUUGGUAGAGUUGAAAAACUCUUUAUUAGAAAUUAUGAGUUAUAUUCGAUACUAAUGUAUGAUUAGCGUCAAUUAACAUGCGGUUUAAUAAACUGUGCACGUAAUCGUUGUCGGCGAAGAAGAGGGUGUGGGCACUUCCGCCGGAUUUAUUCCCCGAGAAGCCGAUUUCAGAGUUGGAUUUGAAUCUCGAGUACAAGCCGGAUCUCGGGGAAGAGUUAGAGGCUGGUAGAGAAACUUGAAGAAUGCACGAAAGGCUGAAGUAAUUAUCAUCCAUGGGUCGGUUAGUUGUCUGUGCUGGAGAUGGUGCAACUCAGAGUUCAACAAAUGGAACCCCAUCUCAUUUUUUGAUAUAUCAUUCCAUUUAUCCUAAUUGAUAUUAGUUGUGUAGUUCUGACUUGUUUCAGUACAUAUGUAGGGCUCUUUUAAGACAUGGGAUCAUGAUAUAUAUUGACGUACCUUUAGACAUUGUGAACAUGGGUCUGGUCGAAGAUCAAACUCAGCUCUCUGCAUACAAUCUAUCUACUUCCGUAUCAUAUACAGAGAAGUAGCGGUAAGUUAGGUUAUGAUGAAAACGAUGAUGUAACCACCGAAGACAUGGCUUUGGAGGUAAUCACAGAAAGUUGUAAAGUAACUCAAAUAAGUAGCUCAGACACAAGAAGGUAGUUCAAAUAAGCCUAUCUUUUAACUGGUGUAGUAGAUGCUUUUGAGUGGAUAAGAGAAAUGUAUGUAAAAUAGUGUAGGAAAUGGAUAAGCAGUUGUGUAGGUUUGUUUUUGCUUGCUAUGGA